AUGCUGGUUGCAGCAAAAAAAUCAUCGAAUCCAGCAAAAAGAACCACCAUCGCCUCGACCAGUGCAAAAAUUCUGGUGUAUCUUCCGAGCAAAAAUUCUUAUGGGUUCCAGCAUUUUUUUUGCCGGUUCCAGCAAAACACAUCUCGACGUCGUCCCGUUGCAUCACCGAGCGAUAGAGGCUGCAACCUUUUCUCCGUUCGCUUCCAGCAAAAAAACUAUAUGGUAGUAGCACCGUACCUCGACGCCUUCACCCCGGCAGCUGUUGGUUGCAGCAAAAAAAGGAGAUGGUUCCAGCAUCUCCAGGAUCCGGUUCCAGCAAAAAAACUCUUUGGUAGUAGCACCGUACGUCGCCUUCUUCACCCCCUGGCGGUUGCUAAUUGCAGCAAAAAUGGACGAUGGUUCCAGCUCCAGAGAACACUGCUUCCAGCAUAUUGUGUGGCCGGUUGCAGCUUUCCGCUCAGUGAGGUCCUGGCCUUGCCGGUUCAAGCUCAUCGCUUGAAUGGCUCCAGCACCACCACUGUCGUCCGGGAUGCAACUCUCACGGAUGGAAAUCAGAAGAUAGCCAUGGCGGCUAGCGCGUUCGGCUGCGGCGACCAUGGAGAGGAGCGCUCGAAGCUAGCCAUGGCGUUCGCUCGCAACUGCCGCAAGGUUGCUUGCAGCGGCCAGGGCGCGUCGCGCGCCAGCUUUUUGUGCCCCUCCUCGUCUUAUUUUGCUGCAGGGAAGAAGGAAGGGGAUGGGCAGAGGAGGAGAUGGAAGGGAGAGAAGAAACAUGGCGCUGGGAGGGGUGUGGCUGAAGGUAGGGGGUGA
rnacentral:rRNA from 1 species